GGACAGAGCAAGGACUUGGAGUGACACAGGCUAAAUCCAGGCCUCUGUCCACUCCUCCGACUGCCUCUCUCCUCCCUGUCCCUUUCUUUAAGAUGCUAAGGAGCAUUUGUCAGACUCCUGGAGGAGAAAUAUUGUUUUCAGUGAUUCCCAAGCCUAUUUGUCAGUUGAAACUCAUUUAUUUUCUUCCUUCUUUUCUCAUUUUCUUUUUUAAGUGCAGAGUGCCUUUUGGGAAUCAGAUACUAGGGACUCAAGGACUCCUGGCUUGUCCCCUUGUCUCCAAAGCCCCAUCCUCACAGCUCAGGCAGCUGGGUGCCUGUGGUGUGCUCACUGGGCUGGAAGCUCCAGACGGGGCAGGAGGGAGCCUGACCAUUCUCUGCAGUGUGGUGGCCCCAGGGCCUGGUGCUUGAUACACACACACACACGUGUGCAUAUACAUAUGUAUGUAUUUAUAUUUGUUUGUUGGUAGCAAAUGUUUAUUUCUUAUAGCUCUCAGUAGCCAGAAGGGCCAUCCUAAGCCAGCCAGUCUUGCUUGCUGACUGGAGAAAUAAAUGCCUCUUCUGCCAGGUAGCUUGGAGCACAAGGGCAUAGGUGAAAACACGGGCCUCGGGGGCCUCACAUCUGAGUCCCAUUCUGCCCCCUCAGAGCUGCGAGACCUGGGGCAAGUCCCUUUCUCCUCUGGGCCACAGGCAUUCUCAUGGGCCUCCCUCCCGGGCUUUUGUGCCAAUUCAGGAGGCAUGCAAGCCUCUGGGACAGUGGGCCAUCCCAUGGAGAUGAGCUACUGCUAGGCUGCAGCCUUCAGAGGAAGAAUUUGAAUUAAACAGGGAGAGAAGUCACACCACCUCAGGGAACCAUCUAAGUCUGUGUUGUCUGAAGCAGUAGCCAGUUGAGACCUGUGGCUAUUUACUUUCAGCAGAUAAUUAAGUUAAAUUAAGCACAGUUCCUUCUGCACAGUAGCCACAUCACAGGUAUUCGGUAGCCACAUCUGGAGAGUGGCUACUCUAUUGGACAGUGCAGAUGGGGACAUGUCCACCAUGGCAAAGAGCCCAAUGGGACUGCACCAAGUCCCACUAUGUUGUGUCAUGCUUAUUGUUUUCAUGUCCUAACACUGCUAAUGACACAUAGCCUAGUGGAAGUCCCCUUGGAUCUGCUUUUUGGAGAAAGAGGGGAACAUGCAUUUGAAAUCAUCCACUACAUGAUUUUAUUUGCUCCUACACUGAUUGAUGGAUUGACUUUUGAGACAGGGGCUUGCUCGGUCACUAAGACUAGAGUGCAGUGGUGUGAUCAUGCUCACUGAGCUCCUGGCCUCAAGCCAUCCUCCAACCUCAGCCUCCCAAAGUGCUGGGAUUACAGGCGGGAGCCGCUGUGUCUGAUCACACCUAGUUUUCUUUUAGAUGCAAAUAUCCAAAACACUUGCAGAGUUAGCUGAAAUUGGUUAAGGGUUCUCUCACCCAUCUUAUUCCAUCACUUGCUCUAUAGCCCUUUCUUAGCACCUAGGAGCAGCCUGGACUUCAGCUCAGCCCAGGUCAGGGUCACAGUGUCCCACAGCGUUAGUGAUGUCCAGACGAACGAGGCUUUUACUCUACUUCCUAGGCUGGUGCCCCCAGCAUCUAGACUGCAUCAAGACCACAGGUUCCUCUCUCUCCUGAAGGACUGUCUGCCACGGGGGACUCCCUGACAUUGUCCCACACAUGCUAUCAAGGCAGAGGGUGACGAGCCCAGAGCCCAAUCCCCAGUUGACACUCUGUCCAUGAAUUUAAGUCCCCCAAAGAAUGCCCCUAAUGUCCACUAGAGCCCUCUACACGACCCUGUCAGCAGUGAUGGCUAUUACAUUUGUGUGUCUAGUUGGAGUUCCAAUUCUGCCCCUGCAAUUGAUUAGUUGUGUGACAUGAGCAUGUGACAUAAACUUUUUGAGCCUCGGUUGACCCUUCUGGAAAGCGAAGACUCUGUUAUCUCGCUCACCAUGUGGCAGUGAGUUCACAUGAGAUGGUGCAGUGUUUCCAAACUUUUCCAGCCCAUGUCCCUUUUGCUAAACACAGACAUCUCUGCCUUCCUUGUGGAAGACUCCACCUUUCUAUACCGCCCCACUGAUAAGUAUUUCAUGCACAUUUACCAGCCAAGAACACUUUGUCCAACUUUCCCACAAUUUGUAUUAUGAAAUGAAAGGGUUUUUUUUGUCUUCCAAAAAUAUAAAAUUAUGUUUUGAUGCUGGCUCUGUUGUUCCGAGCUAUACCCUUUUGCUUCCCCUCGCCUUCCUUAUCUUAGUUCUAGUAUACCCCCAGAAGAUCACCCCCACAUCACAAAUGGAACAGGUGGGCAGUGCCCGGUGAUGAGCUGCAGGUGACAGGCACUCACUAAACAGUGGGUCCCCACACCCUGCAGAGGAAAGGAGACCUGCAGGCAGACCCUGCAGCCAUGGCCAGAUGAAGGUCAAUCCGAGUCCGGUUUCGAGUAGCACCUCUGCAGACCCCCACGUGUAGAUAAGUUCCUUAAUAUCAUCUCAUAGCUCUCUUCACUUUUUAAACAAGUAGACCUUAUUUUUUUUAGAGCAGUUUUAGGCUUGCAGAAAAUACAGAAACUUUCAGUAUAUCCCCUCCGCCCACUCUCCCAGUUGUCUGCCCCAUUGCUAACCUCUUGCAUUGGUGUGGUGCAUUUGUUACAAUGGGUGAACCCAUACUGAUACACUAUUAUUAGCUCCAGUUCAUAGUUUACUUUAGGGUUCCUUCUCUGUGUUAGACAGUUCUACGGGUUUUGGCAAAUGCGUUGUCUCCACACCCAUCAUUACGGUACCAUACAGAAUUGUUUUUCUGCCUUAAGAUUGCCCCGUGCUCCGGCUACGCAUCACCCCCCUCCUUCUACCCUGGGCCCAGUUUUCUUCACUUUUUCUUCAGUGCAUUUACUGCAGUUGUAAAGAUCGAAUUUGGAAUUACUUGAUUAAAAUCGGCCUUCCCCACGGGACCGUAAGCAGCUUCACGAGGGCAACCGCUACGUCGGGCUUUGCCACACUGUGUCUCCUGGGCUUUCUCACAGUGCAUGGCAUAUGUUAGUGUAAACAGUUGAACAAAUGAAUGAAUGAAUGAGUGAAUGAGAAGUGAAGUAGAGGCAAUGAAGGAGGCUGGAGGAAGGAGGUGUCAGGGCAAGAAGAGGAAGCCUCACCCAAAUCAACAUUGCCCAUCCCAGGAGCCUCCCUUUGAAGACAAUGAAAUGGCAAAGCAAAACUGUUCUGGAACCAAGUGGCUGAUAACCCACGCUGGGGUUAUCCUGGCGAUUUUCAUCCACUUGGCUCCCCAAGUUGCUGCUCGACCGCUCUCUGACCUGGAUUCACUGAGGACACAUCAGGGCCUUUGCCACGGGGUCCAUGGAGUGGCCGGAGCCCGGGGCUGGGUGAGUGUGGGGUGGGUCUGAAGGGGAGGAUGUGCAUCUAGAGACCAGGCCAGCCCCUGCAGGAUUUUCUGAUGUCAAAUCGCCUGUCCUGUGCCUGAGCCCCAUCGCCUUAGCAGAAUGAGGACACGCGCCUCCCCUGGGCUUCCCCAGCGUGGCCUGAGUGAGUGUCUCCCCAGCUGCAGUGUUUGCAAUCAGCAGGUCAAGAGGGGACCCUCCUGCCCGGCUCCCAUGGCGCUGCUGCUCCUUCUAGCAGUCCCAGCUUAACCCCCACACUUCUUAUACUGGUCCCAGGGCCCUCCAUGGGUUAGGGUGUAGAAGGAGGUUGUGCUGGUUAAAAACACCAGGUGGAAAUCUCUUUUCUCUGAAUGCUGAUGGAGUGCUGUUAAAGAGACAGUUCUUUUCAGUCUAGUUGGAUCCUGGGUGAAGACUCAGGCCUUGCUCAAGAAGGGAGACCACCCAUGUGUGCUGUCCCAUGUUUCCAGGGAGGAGGCUGGAAGUCCAAGAUCAAGGUCCUGGUAGGUUUGGCUUCUGGUGAGGGCUCUCUCCAUGGCCAGGAGCUUCUUCCACUCCUGGGCACAGAUGGGCCCUGUUAGACUGUUGCCUUGCUCCCAAUGAAUCAUGCCCCCUCCCACUGCCUCUGGGGUUGUGUCUAUGAUGUCCUCUUCCUGGGGACAAAUGCAGCUUCAGCUGCUAUAGGCUGGGACUGUGGCCCUCCCUGCACCAGUCCCAGGGCCCAGCUUCCCCAGGCCACUAGCACUGCUCCAGGAACAGUGUCCAAGUCAGUCCCGACUGCUAAUAGAAUCCCACGGACUGAGUGGCUUCAGGAACAGGAAUUUAUUUCUCACAGUUCUGGAAGUCCAAGAUCAGGGUGCUGGCAGAUUUGGCUCCUGGUAAGGGUUCUCUUCAGGCUCGCAGACAGCUGCCUUCUUGCUGUAACCUCACAUGGUGGAGAGAAAACUCUGGUGUCUCUUCCUUUUCUUAUAACGGCACUAAUUCCAUCGUGGAUCCCCCCACCCUCAUGACCUCAUUGAAACCUAACGACCUUUCAGAGGCCCCACUUCCUAAUACUGUCACACUGGGGGUAGGCCUUCCACAUACCAAUUUGGAGACACACAAACAUUUAGUCCAUAAAAAAUGGGCAGGUGGCCCAGACUAAGCUAAUCACAUCCUUUCCUGGGCCUGUCAGGAACCUUCUCUGGCUUUUGGUUUGUUUGUAUUUUAAAAUAGAAAUAGGCAGAUCUGUGAGAAGGUGAGGUGAGAGUUGCAGGCAGCCACCUACCUGCCCAGGGGAGGAUGCCCUUUUGCAAUAGGAAAGAAUGAAGACAGCACAAAGAGAGACGUGGAGGAGGAAGACGGAGAAGGAGGGGCGCUUUCGCCUCCCUGGACCCAGUGGGCCCUGAGAUCUGCUUCUAACCUGUGUUUUCUCUAUUGAUUUUUGUCAGCUAAUAAGUCUCUCUUUCUACAUACAUUCAUUGAAGUUCCAUUUGUUUUCCUUGCCAGUAAAAGAAUGCUGACAACCUCAGGAUUGGGCAAGGAGCUAGUCCUUUUCCCCUCUUGAGAGAUGGGGUAGCAGAGUAGUAGGAGCAGAGCGGCCAGGCUGUCUGGAUUUGAAGUUGUACAUGUUGGUCUGGGCAAAAUUUUCAACUUCCUGCGCCUCAGUUUCUUAUCUGUAAAGUGGGGUUAAUAAUAGUGCCUACCUCGUGCAGUCAGGGAUGAGGAUUAAGUGAGUUAUAUAUGUAAGGUGCUUUGCACACUGCCUGGUGUGCAGUCAGCUCAGCAUCUGUGAGCUGAUUUCCAUCUCCCUUGGGUCUUGUGGCCUGUGAACGCAGCCUUACUUGGCCCAAGUGCUGAAGGAAAUGGAACGCACCCUGAGUGAGACAGCAAUACUCUCUUGUGACCCAGUUAGUAGCCAGCUGGCAGAUUUCUGGUAUUGCUCACUGCUGAGAGGGGCCGCUGGGUGCCUGAUGAGUCCUGGGAAAUGCCUGGGGCAGGGUGGCUGGCCUGGGCCUGUCUGCCCUGGGAUGCCCCUCCCAGAGCUCUCAGCAUGGCAGCACUAAGGCCAGCUGCCUUAGUGGGGCCAGCUGGACCCUACUUGGGAGGAUAGAGAAGUGGAAAGAACUCUGGGCCUGCAACCCAGCAGUUGUACACCGUGGUUUCCUAGAGGAACUCAUGCACAUGUGUCCUGGAGACCUGCAAGAGAACAGCACCAUGGAGAUGACCAGCAACUAAUACCACCCAAAGGCCCACCAACAGGAGAAUGGAUACCCCAGCAGGGGUGCAGGCAUGCAAUGGAACAAACCACGUACUGGUGAGAGUGAAUCAAUGACGGCCACAUGCAUCAACGCCGAUGAGGCUGAGACUCGUAAUAUCAAAUUUAGAAUUGCAAGUAGCAGAAGGAUCAAAGUUAUAUUUGUAAUAAAGCUUAAACACAAGCAAA